ensembl:lncRNA
GGUGAAACUGCUUUCAGCCUGAGUCCCUGAGUGACUUUGUGGAAUACAGCCCAGUUGGGACCCAGCACUGAUAGUUUUAAAAGCUCCUCAGGGGCCAGCCCUGUGGCAUAGCAGUUGGGAUUGCGUGCUCCACUUCAGCAGCCCAGGGUUCAUGGCUUCAGAUCCCAGGUGUGGACCUACACAUCGCUCAUCAAGCCAUGUUGUGGCAGUGUCUUACAUUCAAAAUAGAGGAAUACUGGCAUGGAUGUUAGCUCAGUGACAAUCUUCCUCAAGCAAAGAGAGGAAGAUUGGCAACAGAUGUUAGCUCAGGGUCAAUCUUCCUCACCAACAAAAAAAAAAAGCUCCUCAGGUGUGUGUGAUAUGUGCCACCAGCGUUCAAAAUCUUCCACACUUGGCAGCUAAUUGCUGCUUGUCUGCUUGAUACUAUCAAGUUUUCCCAAACUUAGUAAGUAACAAUAACAAGAAGUGGCAUUUUCUGUGAGCUGAUAUCUUUUCUCAACUCCAGGAGGGUAGCAUUCAAACCACAAAGGAAAAAAAUAAGCUUGUGUUAUGCUGACUUGACAGUCUGGCCGACAGUUGUAUUUUUCACUCAAGCAGGUGUACAAGGCUGCUGAUCUGCUGCAGCAUUUAAUAGAUCUGUAGGGGAGGGAGUCUGAAAAGAACAAAGUUCAGAGUUUUGUUACCCAAGACACACAGAACUGCAGUUGCCUUCUGGUCUUGUUAGCCAGUUUGGGUUGCAAGAAACAGAAGCCUGCUUGUGCCGGCCCAAGGAAAGAGGAUUGGAAGAUGCAAGAAGCAAGUUCAUGGCUAUUGGAGGGCCAGAAGCGGAGUCCCUCAUGACCACAGGAAGAUACCCUUGGGCAGUCAGGAUCUAAGACUUCCUCCCACUCCAAGAUGCCACAAGGCCUCCCUUAUCUCAGCUCCUUUGAUUGAAUCUUCAUUGUCUCUCUCAACUGGCCCCACCUGCUUCCUCUGCCUACUUGCUUCCUCCAGCACCCCCAUGGGUCCUGACUGCAUUGAGACUCCCUGGCUUGAAUUCCACCACAAAUUGGAGGCUGUGGAUUACUUCGUUCAGAUUUGCUCACUCCAGUCUGAUCAUCCCUACUUGUUUAUUGGCACUGGAACACCCAAAUCACAGAUCUUUGGCCACCCCAUAAACUGAGUGGCCUCAGGUCAGGAAUUCAUUCCUGGUCUCAUCAGCUGUGGAUGAAGAAGCAAGGCCAUAACAUAGAACCAAGUUUUAAAUUGCCAGUUCCAGCUGGGAUACCAAGAUUUUAUGUAUACUGGAUGUCAACCUUGAGUUGAGAGAUGGACAACCAUACAGUUAUGUCAAACAGGUGGUUGAGAACCAGCUCAGUGACUCUCAGACUCUCAUUGAGGAGGACAGAGUUAAGAGAGGAUUUUUAAAGAUCAUUUCUUGGAAGAGCCAACCGCCAUGCACACUCCCUACCCCCCGCUUUAGGGAACAUAUGUUUCCUGCAGGGGUCCAGAAGACAGGUGCCUGAUCACACCUGAACAAGCUGACGUGGCCUGUGGCAGCAGAGUGAGUGACUGCAUCUAGGAAGUAACUUUCUAUCAGCAGGUCAAAGGUUGCCUGUAGCACUGUGUAAAUAGAGGUGGGCAAUUUGCCUAUCCCCCAACCUUCCUGCUGCUUCAACCCUGAAGGUCCAGAAAAUGUGGUCCAGAGGUCCGGCUAGCCUGAGGAGGAGUAGGAAUAUAAGACACAGAAGAAAAAAGCCACCAACUUUUGCUCCUUCCUGGACCAUUGGGGAAAUAGAAGAAAUUCACGUCUAAAUUGUGACUUAAAAUGACUGGAAGAUU